UUAGAAAAAUAAGCUUAUUAUUAAAAGCUUAAUCCAAGAAUAAUCCUUUUAAAUAAUCUUCACUCUGUGCAUCUUUAAUGUUCUAAUUUUGUUUUCAGAGUUACAAUUUAUUUAUAUAAAAUAUUUCCAAUAUUAUAGAGAAAAAGGUAAUUGUUUGAAUGAAAUUUAAAAUUGUUAAUGCACAAACAAUUAAUAACGAAUUAUUUUCCAAUCUGAGAGAUAAAAAAAGAGAAGAAUAAAAAAUAUUUUUUUUAGAAGAGGAGAAAACGAGGUGAUGUGUUGACCCUACAGCCCUGUAAGUGAACAGUAGUCACGACAGAACUGUAAGAUCAACAGCUUGCAAAGAUGCCAAAAAUUCAGGCACACAAGCUCAAAAGAAAAUUACUCGAUGAGUUCAAAGACUUUGAGGAUGUUGAUGGAGUGAUACAGUGCAAGUUUUGUCAUGUGAAGAUGGACAGGUUGAAAAAGUCUGAUU